rnacentral:rRNA from 1 species
GACAGAGGUGCCGAGCGUUAGGCGGAAUCACUGGGCUUAAAGCGUGUGUGGGCGGGCGGGCAAGUACCUUGUGAAAUCCCACGGCUCAACCGUGGAACUGCUGGGUAUACUGCCUGUCUUGAGCCAGCUAGGGGCGAGCGGAACAGACGGUGGAGCGGUGAAAUGCGUAGAUAUCGUCUGGAACGCCGAAGGUGAAAACAGCUCGCUGGGGCUGUGCUGACGCUGAGACACGAAAGCCAGGGGAGCGAACGGG